rnacentral:lncRNA from 1 species
UCCCUUUGUUGCCGCCUCCUCUCCUUGGUCGUGGAUCCUUCUUGGGCAUCCUACCUGCUGGUGUGAGGUGUCACAUCAUCACAUCUCAUCUCUCAAUUGAUUGUGUAUGCGAAGCCAAUUGGAUUGGAGUUCAUCCUGCUUUCCUACGGCGUCUGACGUGCAUGCAAUGUAGAGGAUCUGCAUAUCCAGACCUCCGCAAAGAUUUAUAUCAGAUAAUUUGAGAUUUGAUCUCUGAUUCCGCUGCGAUUCAGGUAAGGAUUUAAUCCUUAAACAAGUAGAACAUUAGAGAAAACUUUUAGAUGCAACCUGGGCAUUCUGGAAGGAAACUGUUUCCUUUUCUUCACGAGUCAUGUGAUGAAUGAGUCCCUUGUGUCCCCUCAGACUGUGGCUGAUCAGCUGGAACCUUAUGUGGAAUAUUUCUUUCUGUCCAUUGCCUUGGAUCCACCCUGAUCUCCCAAACUACCACACUGACUGGUCAUGGAAGGGAUCCCGGCUCAUCAAGCUCUGGCUCCUGCUGCUGACCUAC